AAAAACUGGCAUAUUGCACUCCCUCCCUCCCUCCCGCGGCCCCGCCAUAAUAUUCCAAAAGUCCAAACUUCACGUUCCCAAGCUUGCUGAUGCGAGGACGGUGUCACGUGCUCAGCACUGCUCGCACUCAAGAAAAAUCUCCCUCUAAAUAAGAAGACAAGGAAGUACACUGUAGAUGACGUGCUGAGAUUUCUGAGAGAUGGUGCAGUUCCUCCAAGUCUCAGCAAGAAUGAAAGAAGUUCCUUCUUCAUCUAUUCAAGAAAAUUUCAGCUUCAUGUAGAAGGUGGCAGCAGAGUUGUUUCUUCAAGUCAAGUUCAACCAGUACACCACCUCACUCACCACUUCAGGAGGCUCAUUUACCUAAGAGCAGUGAUUUGUAAAUUUAGCAGUUAAUGUUGGAGGUAGAUAACCAACAUAUUUACUGCAAUCCACUGGAAAAGGAUAGGCACUGGUGUGGUUUCAUUAAAAUUUUCAGUAGAGCUAGAGGUUGGCCGAGGCAGCAGCCGAUGCCCAUAAGUGUUGUACUUUAUGAACAUUCACAGUACUAUUGUGAAUUCAUAAACCAAGUGACUUCAAAAAAUUUUAUGACCUAUUUGUGCACCAGUGUGAGUGCUUUGUAACUGUGGCCAAGUUAUGGUUGCUGAUGACCACUCAUAAAGCUCUGAAUGAGUAGAACUUAACAUUAUGUUAUGAAAACAUGGAUUCACGCACUGUCACCGACCAUGGAGGCAUGCCCACCACUUCUGAUCCUUUUCUCAGUGUACCGUUUUCCAUAGUAAUUUACAUGAAUUAACUUAAUCUAUGUUCUAUAUGUACGGUAAAACCUCCCUAGAUUAGCAUAAUUGGGGCCGAGAUUUUGCCGUCUGGUAACAUCAUGUGUCUAGUCAGUACAGUAGGAUGUAAUAUAUUCAGUGCCCUAUCCAUUCCUAUGCUGAUAACUCUACCCUGCAUUUUUCUGCAUCAUUCACCAGAUGUCCCACUCAGCACUGUUUCAGUAACUCACAAAGAGAUGCCUCAAUGCUUGACCUGUAAUCUUUCCUUAAUUUUUUAAUGGAAAGAGUAAACCACGUUUUGUUCAGUGCCUCAAAAACACAUUUCUUGCAUCUAUCUAAUCAACACACCACUGACAUCACUACAUCUUUAAAUACAUCCUUUCUCUCUCUCCUCAAUAAAUCCCCUCUCUCUCCUCAAUAAAUCUCUCUCUCUCUCUCUCUCUCUCUCUCUCUCUCUCUCUCUCUCUCUCUCUCUCUCUCUCUCUCUCUCUCUCAUAGCUGGGCACGAUAACAGAAAACCUUAUUCCUGAUAACCGAUAACUGAUAAUGGAAAACCUUAUCGAUGAUAACCGAUAUUUGUUAACUGGAGACACAAAUAUAGGUGAUAACUGAUAACCGAUACCGAUAUAAAUCCACAAUUCCGAUACUAGCUAACGAUAAGUCCAAUAGGUGAAAACGAUAAUAUAUUGAUUUUUCAAAUAAAAAAAACAUAGAUUAAUUCAAAUUUUCAUUAUUUGUAUUUUAGAAAACUUACAAAACCUGAAAACCACACGUUGACAUGUAGCCUACAUAUGGACGGUAAUACUAGAAACGCCUGAACCGGUGUUAUUUGGCGUCCCCACCGUCAAAAGCUGGCGCUUUUGUUUACAAACACUGGUCUCUCGUGAACUGCCCAUGCUCAGACCAGCAAGCGUAGACCUGUACAGUCUCACAUAGCUUUUUAACCGUAAUUAAGAGUUGCUGGAAGGCUGACUCAGACAUAUAGUACCACUACCACCAUCCCCGCUGUUUCUAGAACGACACUCUGUACGAGUUGUAUUUAUAUGUACAGAGCGUCGUUCUAGAAACAGCGAUACUGUAUGUCUGAUUCAGCCUUCCAGCAACUCUUAAUUAAUGUG